GACAGAGGGUGCAAACGUUGCUCGGAAUUACUGGGCGUAAAGCGCGUGUAGGCGGUCACGCAAGUCAGGUGUGAAAGCCCAGGGCUCAACCCUGGAAGUGCACAUGAUACUACGUGGCUGGAGUACUGAAGAGGAGAGCGGAAUUCCCGGUGUAGAGGUGAAAUUCGUAGAUAUUGGGAGGAACACCUGUGGCGAAAGCGGCGCACUGGACCACAACUGACGCUGAGGCGCGAAAGCUAGGGGAGCAAACAGG
rnacentral:rRNA from 1 species